rnacentral:rRNA from 1 species
GGAUUAGAUACCCUGGUAGUCCUAGCUGUAAACGAUGAGUAUUUGUUGUCGGGAGAUUCGACCCUCUCGGUAGCGGAGCUAACGCGUUAAAUACUCCGCCUGGGUAUUACGACCGCAAGGUUGAAACUCAAAGGAAUUGACGGGGACCCGCACAAGCGGUGGAACAUGUGGUUUAAUUCGAUGCAACGCGAAGAACCUUACCUGGGCUUGACAUGUUCACGAAAACCCUGUGAAAGCAGGGCCUUCUGCGAGCUUGCUCAAAGACAUGAUUACAGGUGAUGCAUGACUGUCGUCAGCUCGUGUUG